UACGAAGGGGGCUAGCGUUGCUCGGAAUCACUGGGCGUAAAGCGCACGUAGGCGGAUCUUUAAGUCAGGGGUGAAAUCCCGGAGCUCAACUCCGGAACUGCCUUUGAUACUGGGGAUCUCGAGUCCGGGAGAGGUGAGUGGAACUGCGAGUGUAGAGGUGAAAUUCGUAGAUAUUCGCAAGAACACCAGUGGCGAAGGCGGCUCACUGGCCCGGUACUGACGCUGAGGUGCGAAAGCGUGGGGAGCAAACAGGAUUAGAAACCCCCGUAG
rnacentral:rRNA from 1 species